rnacentral:rRNA from 1 species
UACGGAGGGGGCUAGCGUUGUUCGGAAUUACUGGGCGUAAAGCGCACGUAGGCGGCUUUGCAAGUUAGAGGUGAAAGCCCGGGGCUCAACCCCGGAAUUGCCUUUAAGACUGCAGGGCUAGAAUCCAGGAGAGGUGAGUGGAAUUCCAAGUGUAGAGGUGAAAUUCGUAGAUAUUCGGAAGAACACCAGUGGCGAAGGCGGCUCACUGGACUGGUAUUGACGCUGAGGUGCGAAAGCGUGGGGAGCAAACAGG